GACGAACGCUGGCGGCGUGCUUAACACAUGCAAGUCGAACGGAAAGGCCCUGCUUGCAGGGUACUCGAGUGGCGAACGGGUGAGUAACACGUGGGUGAUCUGCCCUGCACUUCGGGAUAAGCCUGGGAAGCUGGGUCUAAUACCGGAUAGGAGCCAUUUUUAGUGUGAUGGUUAGAAAGUUUUUUCGGUGUAGGAUGAGCUCGCGGCCUAUCAGCUUGUUGGUGGGGUAAUGGCCUACCAAGGCGGCGACGGGUAGCCGGCCUGAGAGGGUGGACGGCCACAUUGGGACUGAGAUACGGCCCAGACUCCUACGGGAGGCAGCAGUGGGGAAUAUUGCACAAUGGGCGCAAGCCUGAUGCAGCGACGCCGCGUGGGGGAUGACGGCCUUCGGGUUGUAAACUCCUUUCGCUAGGGACGAAGCUUUUUGUGACGGUACCUAGAUAAGAAGCACCGGCUAACUACGUG
rnacentral:rRNA from 1 species